rnacentral:lncRNA from 1 species
UGGUGUGCACUAAUGCGACGUCCUCGCACACCAUUGGCCGGGGAAGGGCGCGUGCCAUGCGACCCGAGCUGAGGUGACGGACCCCAGGACAAGAGGCAGUCAUUGUUCGGUGGAUCCCCGAUGGUGUGAA